AUGAGUUCUUGCAUUUGGGAAAGUUUACAGUUCAUGUCUUGGUUAAAUAAAAUAUCCUUUAUUCGAUAAAGAGUCAAUGUGAAAAAAGUAUACAAAUAUUUAUAUUCAUGAUACCAUUUUAUUAUUUCAAAAUAAUUGACAAGAAUCACAUACAUUUUUAUACAGUUGCAUAAGUGUAGACCCCGAAAACUACCACCAAUCUCAUCGGUUAAGGACAUAGACAAAGGAGCAAAAAAUAUAAACCGACAUCAACAUCAAUCGAAAAGAACAACUAAAAACAUACAACAACAAACAACAUGAACAACCAAAAAAAAACAAUGUAAAGUAUAUAUUAUAUAACAUCCACACACCUUUCAGUCCAUAUGUUAUAAAGAUAAAACACAACACUUAUACCAUACACAGUGCAGCAAUCCACAUGUUGACACUAAUUCAAUAAGUAUGAAAUAAAAAAAAUAACAUUUAUCAUUUUUGAAAGAAGGAUCAAACCGUGAUCUUCGUCACUUUGGCUCUGGUUGAGUGGUUCCUCAUUGGCAAUCAUACCACAUCUCCAUAUUUUCCACAUUAUCACUUUAAUACAGUUACAAUUAUUUUUUAAGGUUAAAUGUUUAAGUGGAUUAAGGAAUCUGUAAUCAUUACUUCUUCUGUUUUUUGUCAAAGAGAAAACAAACCUACCAAACAGGAGACAAGCAGGUCUACCAAUGGACCUACAACGUAGCGAGAACAUCCCACACACA
rnacentral:lncRNA from 1 species